AUUGAACGCUGGCGGCAGGCCUAACACAUGCAAGUCGAACGAGUGGCGGACGGGUUAGUAAUGUCUGUGAAACUGCCUGAUGGAGGGGGUUCACUACUGGAAACUGUAGCUACUUCCGCCUUCCAUCGCAUGUGCCCAGAUGGGAUUAGCUAGUUGGGGGGGUAAAGGAUCACCUAGGCGACGAUCCCUAGCUGGUCUGAGAGGAUGACCAGACACACUGGAACUGAGACACGGGCCAGACUCCUACGGGAGGCAGCAGGGGGGAAGAUUGCACAAUGGGCGCAAGCCUGAUGCAGCCAUGCCGCGUGUAUGAAGAAGGCCUUCGGGUUGUAAAGUACUUUAAGCGGGGAGGCGUUACCCGCAGAAGAAGCACCGGCUAACUCCGUGCCAGCAGCCGCGGUAAUAC
rnacentral:rRNA from 1 species